rnacentral:siRNA from 1 species
GCUGUCACUUGGCUGUUAUGUGG